GCCGGGUUAGCGUAGUGGCUAAUGCGUUGCACUUGUAUCCACACCAGAGGUGCCCCAUCCCUUAGGUCGUCGACGACAUGCAAAGAUCACAGGUUCGAUUCCUGUAUCAGGCA